rnacentral:misc_RNA from 1 species
GAUGAAGAACGCAGUGAAAUGCGAUAAGUAAUGUGAAUUGCAGAAUUCAGUGAAUCAUCGAAUCUUUGAACGCACAUUGCGCCCCCUGGUAUUCCGGGGGGCAUGCCUGUUCGAGCGUCAUUUCACCACUCAAGCCUCGCUUGGUAUUGGGCAACGCGGUCCGCCGCGUGCCUCAAAUCGACCGGCUGGGUCUUCUGUCCCCUAAGCGUUGUGGAAACUAUUCGCUAAAGGGUGCUCGGGAGGCUACGCCGUAAAACAAACCCAUUUCUAAGGUUGACCUCGGAUCAGGUAGGGAUACCCGCUGAACUUAAGCAUAUCAAUAAGCGGAGA